AUGUUAUCAAGAAAGGUGGAGGGAUUAGACCCGCUGAAGCCUUAGCAACCCUUUAUUCAUAAAGAAGGUGCUAAAUUCUACUUGAUUUUUGAUUCAUUUAUCAAAAAUUAGAUAGAUAACUU
rnacentral:ncRNA from 2 species